rnacentral:rRNA from 1 species
AGAGUUUGAUCCCGGCUCAGGAUGAACGCUAGCGGCAGGCUUAAUACAUGCAAGUCGAACAGCAGCACAGGUAGCAAUACUGGGUGGCGAGUGGCGCACGGGUGCGUAACACGUAUGCAACCUACCCUUUACUGGGGCAUAACUUUUAGAAAUGAGGGCUAAUUCCCCAUGGUAUUAUGAGAAGGCAUCUUUUUAUAAUUAAAGAUUUAUCSGUAAAGGAUGGGCAUGCGUCCCAUUAGUUAGUUGGUGAGGUAACGGCUCACCAAGGCGAUGAUGGGUAGGGGUUCUGAGAGGAUUAUCCCCCACACUGGUACUGAGACACGGACCAGACUCCUACGGGAGGCAGCAGUAAGGAAUAUUGGGCAAUGGGCGAGAGCCUGACCCAGCCAUGCCGCGUGCAGGAAGACGGCCUUAUGGGUUGUAAACUGCUUUUAUAAGGGAAUAACCUUCCGUACGAGUACGGAACUGCAUGUACCUUAUGAAUAAGCAUCGGCUAACUCCGUGCCAGCAGCCGCGGUAAUACGGAGGAUGCAAGCGUUAUCCGGAAUCAUUGGGUUUAAAGGGUGCGUAGGCGGGAUUGUAAGUCAGUGGUGAAAUUUCCGGGCUUAACCUGGGCGCUGCCAUUGAUACUGCAGUUCUUGAGUAUAGUUGAUGUUGGCGGAAUGUGUCAUGUAGCGGUGAAAUGCCUAGAUAUGACACAGAACACCGAUAGCGAAGGCAGCUGACAAAACUAUAACUGACGCUGAUGCACGAAAGCGUGGGGAGCAAACAGGAUUAGAUACCCUGGUAGUCCACGCUGUAAACGAUGAUAACUAGCUGUAGGCGAUACACAGUCUGUGGCUAAGCGAAAGCGAUAAGUUAUCCACCUGGGGAGUACGUCGGCAACGAUGAAACUCAAAGGAAUUGACGG